GGUGCUUGGGCGAGAGUAGCUCUAGGAUGGGUGACCUCCUCCGAAGUCCUUAUAUUUCACCCAUUUUCUUAGGAAGUCCUCGUGUUGCACCCAUUUUUUUGCAGAUGAUUCUUUCGACGAUACGCGCGACUUGAAUUAUGGUCCUCAGGUUUAUUCGGAAAUGUGAGUCACGGCACCGUAGCAUUUUACUUGAUAUUAGAACGAGAACGGGAGGUGCAGUGC
rnacentral:lncRNA from 1 species